GAUCAUGGCUCAGGACGAACGCUGGCGGCGUGCCUAACACAUGCAAGUCGAGCGGAGAUUGAGGAGAAGCUUGCUUCGAGACAAUCUUAGCGGCGGACGGGUGAGUAACGCGUGAGCAACCUGCCUUAUACAGGGGGAUAACGCACCGAAAGGUGUGCUAAUACCGCAUGAGACCACAACAUCACAUGGUGAAGGGGUCAAAGGAGGAAUCCGGUAUAAGAUGGGCUCGCGU
rnacentral:rRNA from 1 species